rnacentral:rRNA from 1 species
UACGUAGGGUGCGAGCGUUGUCCGGAAUUAUUGGGCGUAAAGAGCUCGUAGGCGGUCUGUCACGUCGGCUGUGAAAACCCGGGGCUCAACCCCGGGCCUGCAGUCGAUACGGGCAGACUAGAGUGCGGCAGGGGAGACUGGAAUUCCUGGUGUAGCGGUGAAAUGCGCAGAUAUCAGGAGGAACACCGGUGGCGAAGGCGGGUCUCUGGGCCGAAACUGACGCUGAGGAGCGAAAGCGUGGGGAGCGAACAGG